rnacentral:sRNA from 1 species
GACGUGACCCCGGAAGUGGGGUGUGGAGCUCCGGUGCCGGUGCGGCGGGGGACUGCGGCGCCAGCCUCAGUUUAAACCCCCUCAGCAGUCUUUCUGUCGUUGCCCUCCACACUGCGAGACUCUGGAGGGCGAUCUGGAGGUCUGGAAGAUAACCGAUUCCUGGGACAUUUGGGGGUAGUCUCCAAUCUGUCCCUGGCUCAUCUUGUGACCCGAAGCCGGCGGCCUUGCCAGGAAUAUUCUAGAAUGAGUGCACAUAAAAAUACCUUCAAAUGGUAGCAGCAGCAGCAGCAGCAGCAAUGUUUCACUUCUUCAGAAAGCCUCCGGAAUCUAAAAAGCCCUCGGUACCAGAGACAGAAGCAGAUGGAUUCGUCCUUUUAGGAGAUACAACAGAUGAGCAAAGAAUGGCAGCAAGAGGCAAAACUUCGGACAUAGAAGCCAACCAACCUUUGGAGCGGACAGGGCAAAAUCUCAGCAAGUUCGGACCUCUAGUACAAUAAGGCGAACCUCCUCUUUGGAUACAAUAACAGGACCUUACCUCACAGGACAGUGGCCACGGGAUCCUCAUGUUCACUACCCUUCAUGCAUGAAAGACAAAGCU